AAUGAACGCUGGCGGCGUGCCUAACACAUGCAAGUCGAACGAACGCACGGGAAGCGCUUGCCCCUGAGGGUGGCGGGCGACGGGAGGGUAACGCAUGGAUAGCCUACCUCUUUGACGGGGGUGAUAACGGGGAACAAGUUCUGCUAACGGAUGAUAUAUCGACCUGGAGGGUGCAAGAGUGCGAGAAGCUUUUGGCGAGAGUAAAAGACGACCCGGCGUUGCAUUAGCUGGUGGGUAAGGUAACGGCUAAGCAAGGCAACGACGCGUAGCCGACCUGAGAGGGUGAUCAGCCACCCUGGAACUGAGACACGGUCCAGACUCCUACGGGAGGCAGCAGUCGGGAAUCUUGCGCAAUGGGCGCAAGCCUGAUCGAGCAACACCGCGUGAGUGAUGAAGGCCUUCGGAUCGUAAAGCUCUGUUGUUCGGAAAGAACAGAUGCAUGUUUAACCGUGCACAUCUUGACGGUACCUAAAGAAUAAGCCCCGGCUAACUUCGUG
rnacentral:rRNA from 1 species